rnacentral:rRNA from 1 species
GACGAACGCUGGCGGCGUGCUUAACACAUGCAAGUCGAGCGGUAAGGGCCCUUUCGGGGGUACACGAGCGGCGAACGGGUGAGUAACACGUGGGUGACCUGCCCUCAGCUCUGGGAUAAGCCUGGGAAACCGGGUCUAAUACCGGAUAUGACUCCAUGACGCAUGUUGUGGGGUGGAAAGCCUUGUGCGGCUGAGGAUGGGCCCGCGGCCUAUCAGCUUGUUGGUGGGGUGAUGGCCUACCAAGGCGACGACGGGUAGCCGGCCUGAGAGGGCGACCGGUCACACUGGGACUGAGACACGGCCCAGACUCCUACGGGAGGCAGCAGUGGGGAAUCUUGCGCAAUGGGCGAAAGCCUGACGCAGCGACGCCGCGUGAGGGAUGACGGCCU